rnacentral:rRNA from 1 species
UACGAAGGGGGGCUAGCGUUGCUCGGAAUCACUGGGCGUAAAGGGUGCGUAGGCGGGUUUUUUAAGUCAGAGGUGAAAUCCUGGAGCUCAACUCCAGAACUGCCUUUGAUACUGAGAAUCUUGAGUUCGGGAGAGGUGAGUGGAACUGCGAGUGUAGAGGUGAAAUUCGUAGAUAUUCGCAAGAACACCAGUGGCGAAGGCGGCUCACUGGCCCGAGUACUGACGCUGAGGCACGAAAGCGUGGGGAGCAAACAGGG